CCGGAGAGGGAGCCCGAGAAACGGCUACCACAUCUAAGGAAGGCAGCAGGCGCGCAAAUUACCCAAUCCUGACAUAGGGAGGUAGUGACAAGAAAUAACAAUGCAUAAACCUUAGGGUUCCUGUUUUUGGAAUGAGUAGAAUUUAAAUUCCUUUACAACGAUCAAUUGGAGGGCAAGUCUGGUGCCAGCAGCCGCGGUAAUUCCAGCUCCAAUAGCGUAUAUUAAAGUUGUUGCGGUUAAAAAGCUCGUAGUUGGAUUUCUGCUUCGGACAAGUGGUCCACAUUCUCGUGUGAGUAUCUACUUUGGCCUUGGCAUCUUCUUGGAGAACGUACUGCUUCAUUGUGGUGCGGGAAUCCAGGACUUUUACUUUGAGGAAAUUAGAGUGUUCGCAGCAGGCAAUCGCCGUGAAUACAUUAGCAUGGAAUAAUAUUAUAGAUUCUCGAAUCUUCUUUGUUGGUUCUAGGUUUGAGAAGAUGAUGAAUAGGAUCAGCUGGGGGCAUCCGUAUUAACGCGUCAGAGGUGGAAUUCUUGGAUUGCGUUACGACGAACUACUGCGAAAGCAUUUGCCAAGGAUGUUUUCAUUGAUCAAGAACGAAAGUCAGGGGAUCGAAGACGAUUAGAUACCGUCGUAGUCUUGACCAUAAACUAUGCCUACUAGAGAUUGGAGGUUGUUCUUUUAUUGACCCCUUCAGCACCUUAUGAGAAAUCAAAGUCUUUGGGUUCCGGGGGGAGUAUGGUCGCAAGAUUGAAACUUAAAGGAAUUGACGGAAGGGCACCACCAGGAGUGGAGCCUGCGGCUUAAUUUGACUCAACACGGAAGGGCGA
rnacentral:rRNA from 1 species